rnacentral:rRNA from 1 species
GACGGGGGGUCCAAGCGUUGUUCGGAAUCAUUGGGCGUAAAGGGUGCGUAGGUGGCGCUGUAAGUGGGGUGUGAAAUCCCGGGGCUUAACUCCGGAACUGCAUUCCAUACUGCGGUGCUUGAGGACUGGAGAGGAGACUGGAAUUUACGGUGUAGCAGUGAAAUGCGUAGAGAUCGUAAGGAAGACCAGUGGCGAAGGCGGGUCUCUGGACAGUUCCUGACGCUGAGGCGCGAAAGCGUGGGGAGCAAACGGG